rnacentral:rRNA from 1 species
CCUACGGGUGGCAGCAGUGGGGAAUAUUGCACAAUGGGGGAGACACUGAUGCAGCGAAGCCGCGUGAGGGAAGAAGUAAUUCGGUAUGUAAAGCUCUAUCAGCAGGGAAGAAAAUGAUGGUACCUGAGUACGAAGCCGCGGCUAACUACGAGCCAGCAGCCGCGGUACUACGACGGGGGCAAGCGUUAUACGGAUUUACUGGGUGUAAAGGGAGCGUAGACGGGAGUGCAGGUCUGGAGGGAAAGGCGGGGGAUCAAACCCCGGACUGCGCUGGAAACUGUACGGCUGGAGUGCAGGAGAGGUAAGUGGAAUGCCCAGUGUAGCGGUGAAAUGCGUAGAUAUUAGGAGGAACACCAGUGGCGAAGGCGGCUUACUGGACUGUAACUGACGUUGAGGCUCGAAAGCGUGGGGAGCAAACAGGAUUAGAUACCCGGGUAGUC